CAGGCCACGGCGGGGAGUGGGGAACCAGCUUCCACCACCUCGCCUUAUCUACCCGUCUCUUGCUUCCCUUUGCUUAAAGACAGCAUAGGGGAGUGGAUAUUCAGGUCUGCCUGGCAUCUCCUACUACGUGCCAGGGGCUGCACCAAGGCUUCGGGUGGAUUCCGCUCGCACCGUCCUACAGAGGGUGGCACCGGGAGUCCGAGGAAAGCCUCAGGGCGUGGGGAACGUGACACACUCAGGCAAGGGCAGUUCAGGAACCCAGUCCUUCCAAUCGCAAGUCCUGGAGAAGAGAUCAGAAAUCCGGGAUCAGCCGAGGCAGCUCCAAGGCUUGAGCAAGUCACUGGGCCUCCCGCAGCGGACUCAAUUUCUCUAUCUAUAAAAAGGGCACAGUCAAAUCUUGUAAGGUUUUUUUUGUUUUUUUGUUUUUUUUUUAAAGGAUCAGGGAUCUUUACUGUUAAGAUCCUGGCACGGAGCGGGGGCUCCAUAAAUGGCAGCCAUCAUUCUCGGCCAAGUGCGGGCGCAUCCUCCCGGGCGCCCCGCCCGCGGGCUCCCUCGGGACAGGCCGGGCCCGCCCCCGCGCCUCCGGGCUCAGGCGCUCGCGGCAGGUGGCCCGGCAUCUCGGUGCCCACGCCCCGAGGCGCGCGGGGAGCGCGGGCGGGUGGCACGACCGAGGUUCCCCCGGAGGCUAGCCUCCCCCCCUCCCCACGCCCGGCGCAGGUGAGGUUUGCGGCCCAGGCCACGGGGACAGCGACCUGGAGAGGGCGCGGCGGCCGGGAGCGGGGUCCCGGGGGCGCCCCCCGCCCGGCGCAGACUCACCCGGGGCCGGCAGCGUGGGGGCCGCGGGCUGCGCGCGCUGCGGCCGCGAAAACCCGGCGAGCGGAUCGGAGCGCGCUCGCAGCCAACUCCUCCGCGGUCCGGCCCCGAGCUGGGCAUGCUCAGUGCGGCCGCCGCGCCGCCGGCCCCAACUCGGAAGCUCGCGCUCCGGGCCGAGGGGGCGAGGACGCCGGCGGCGGCGAGCCGGCGUCGCCCGCCGCCCCCAGGCAGCGGCAAACUUCGCGGCGUCCCCGGAGCUCGCCCGGCCGAGAUUGA
rnacentral:lncRNA from 1 species